rnacentral:rRNA from 1 species
GUAAACGGCGGCCGUAACUAUAACGGUCCUAAGGUAGCGAAAUUCCUUGUCGGUUAAAUACCGACCUGCAUGAAUGGCGUAACGAGAUGGGAGCUGUCUCAAAGAGGGAUCCAGUGAAAUUGUAGUGGAGGUGAAAAUUCCUCCUACCCGCGGCAAGACGGCAAGACCCCGUGGACCUUUACUACAGCUUGACACUGCUACUUGGAUAAGAAUGUGCAGGAUAGGUGGGAGGCUUUGAGUAUAUGACGCCAGUUGUAUAUGAGCCAUUGUUGAGAUACCACUCUUUCUUAUUUGGGUAGCUAACCAGCUUGAGUUAUCCUCAAGUGGGACAAUGUCUGGUGGGUAGUUUGACUGGGGCGGUCGCCUCCCAAAUAAUAACGGAGG